UACGGGGGGUGCGAGCGUUGUCCGGAAUCACUGGGCGUAAAGGGCGCGUAGGUGGCGCGGCAAGCGUGCGGUGAAAGCUCGGGGCUCAACCCCGAGUCGGCCGUGCGAACUGCUGGGCUUGAGCACUGUAGAGGCAGGCGGAAUUCCGGGUGUAGCGGUGGAAUGCGUAGAGAUCCGGAAGAACACCGGUGGCGAAGGCGGCCUGCUGGGCAGUAGCUGACACUGAGGCGCGACAGCGUGGGGAGCAACAGG
rnacentral:rRNA from 1 species